GGUAUGUACUGGCUUUACUGAUUCCUCCUUCUUGAAGAACUGUAAUGUCAUUAAUUUGGUGUUGCAGGGAAACAGGACUGUUACUUUGAAAAAAUUAGAGUCGUUUAAAGCAGGCUAACGCUUGAAUACAUUAGCAUGGAAUAAUGAAAUAGGACGUACGAUCCUAUUUUGUUGGUUUCUAGGAUUGACGUAAUGAUUAAUAGGGAUAGUUGGGGGCAUUAGUAUUCAAUUGUCAGAGGUGAAAUUCUUGGAUUUAUUGAAGACUAACUACUGCGAAAGCAUUUGCCAAGGAUGUUUUCAUUAAUCAAGAACGAAAGUUAGGGGAUCGAAGACGAUCAGAUACCGUCGUAGUCUUAACCAUAAACUAUGCCGACUAGGGAUCGGAUGAUGUUAAUUUUUUAAUGACUCAUUCGGCGCCUUACG
rnacentral:rRNA from 1 species